rnacentral:rRNA from 1 species
AUUGAACGCUGGCGGCAGGCUUAACACAUGCAAGUCGAGCGGAGAUGAGGUGCUUGCACCUUAUCUUAGCGGCGGACGGGUGAGUAACACGUGGGUAACCUGGCUCAUAGAGGGGGAUAGCCUCCCGAAAGGGAGAUUAAUACCGCAUAAGAAGCGAAAGUCGCAUGGCUUUAGCUUUAAAGGAGUAAUCCGCUAUGAGAUGGGCCCGCGGCGCAUUAGCUAGUUGGUGAGGUAACGGCUCACCAAGGCGACGAUGCGUAGCCGACCUGAGAGGGUGAUCGGCCACAUUGGAACUGAGACACGGUCCAGACUCCUACGGGAGGCAGCAGUGGGGAAUAUUGCACAAUGGGCGAAAGCCUGAUGCAGCAACGCCGCGUGAGUGAUGACGGCCUUCGGGUUGUAAAGCUCUGUCUUUGGGGACGAUAAUGACGGUACCCAAGGAGGAAGCCACGGCUAACUACGUGCCAGCAGCCGCAGUAACAC